GUGACACAGAAGACAGUUGAUUUCUGCGUUUCCAACUGAGCAGGGAAGAAAUGUAACCAUGCAUAAGAAAACAGGAACUAAGGAGGGGCAAGGAAGCCAUCAUCAUGAAUGAGAAGUCUGACAACUGGUGCUGUGAUCUGCUAAUUACCAAGAGCACUUUAAGCACACUGGUGGAUUUAAACAAUGUGAAUAAGUAAGAUUGUGAUUUGGCUUUGACAAAGGCAGAGUCAAGCUGGCUUUGUCAUGUAAAGGGCCUGAGACGGCCACAUGGUAUGUUUAAUUGAUGUAAGUACCAGAAAAUGGCAUAAAUGAGUACAGAAUUUAGUUUAAGGGCAUGAUAAACAUGGGAAGGAAAGAAAUGAAAAGAACUAAGAUGUGGGUGAAAAUAUUUGGAGGCGAUGAAUUGAUUACAGAUGAUUAUUGAAAGCUGUUGGCCAUAACACUCCCAGAGGCCUCAUUGUACGGGUUCAAGAAACUGUCAUAAGAGAAUUCUGAAAGCCAAGGUAAGCAGUAAGUAUCCAUUAGGUAGUUUCCAUUCUUUCUCUUCCUGAAAACGUUUAUCAUCUCCAGUGUGAUUUGCACAUAUUGAUUAAUUAAUCUCUAAGUGACUAAUUUUUCAUUAUUUGACAGAUAAUUAGAUCUUUCAUAAAUCUGUGUAAUAAAAGCAUGCAGGAAGCAUUGUGAGCCAGUUUAAUAAUUGGCAUUAGUUUUCAAGAAGAAUGUGUUCCAGCUCAGUUGUUUCCUUAUUAGAAAUCAUCCUGUCAGGAAACACUUUAUAGAUAAAGUAAAUGAUCUUGUCUUCUGGAAAAUAUGACAAUGAUUUUUAACACUUGCCAUUUCACAAGAACCUAAGGCUCCUAUGCUCCAAUUACCCCAGUCUCUAUUAAUUCAAAAAAAAUGGGUGUGUCUGAAUUUUAGUGAUGUUAAAAAUAUGAAAACCAUGGGUCAUCUUUCCUUUGAUUCUAAAAGUGAAGAUGCAUAGGGAGGUAGAGGACCUGAUUAUAACAACCAAAGAAUUGGAGAAUAUUUGUUUUGGAAAGGAAUUGAAAGAAGGAUGAGCUCAUAUCCUUUAAUUUACAGAGUAAAAACCUGAAUCUCAUAAAGGUUAAAUGAUAAAUCCAAAGAUACAAAACUGAUGGGAGAGAUUUGAUUACACUAUGGUGCCCCACAGUUACCCACUAGGAACUCACCAGCUCCAAAUUUCACCUCCCUUUAGAAGAAAACUCCAUUUCUUUUUGUAAAAUAUCUUGACAGAUUCUCUCUGAAAUUGUGUACACCACAGACAAUGAUCAAGAGAAGUGAUGGACUUUUACAAUCCCAUUAUUCACUUUAUAUCUUUUCCAAUUUUCUGAAUUUACUGAUCCAAAUCCUAAGUCAGUGGUUCCAAACUGAGAAGCCAUUAAUGUAGAAGUGAGAAGCCAAUAGAAAAUCUUUGAACUAUUUAACAAUCUAAGAGAACUCAUACAUUUUACUAACAGUAUAAAUUAUCACGGAACUUCUGAUUUUCGAAGAGACUAUUAUUAAAGGAGAUUAUAUUAAGUUUUUAAUAGUUUGGUACCUCCAUUUUCUAUUAUGAGUUAAAUAAUCUUUAUGAAAUAUGUAUUAUUGUAUUUUUGUGUAUUUUAUAUUUUAAGGAAAAUGUACUGUGAAACUUUGUAAGUAUAUAAUGUUAAAGUAAACUUUAUUAAUUUUCCUUGGCUUCUUAUAAAAUGUAAGCCUUGAUUCACCCACACUUUUUGGUAUUCUAUGUUGAAAGGAAAAUUUUACUAUACUUAAGUGCUGUUCCAAGGUUAAAUACUCAUACAUAUAUUUAAUGUUCCAAUUCUAGAAAUCAAACUUAAGAAGUAACACUUUUGGUGGAACCACAAACGGAAAAGAGUCUUGGGUCCUGAAUCAUGGUUUGGAGAAGACCUUUAUGCCUAUUAGGAGCCAAAAGCCUAAAACUCUAAACUUAAAACACAAGCAAUAGAAUGUUGAUUCUGUCCUGUCUGCAGUAUACAGGAUUAGCUUUUUCUGUUAAGAUAAAACUAGGAAAUAAAGUUGUGUGUGGAAGCAAUAAAAAUCUGAACUAUUCCUACAUGUAAUUCUAGAAAUUUAUAGGUGCUACAUUUUUUGAAAAUUUUAAUGACAUAUAUAAGAAGGAAAAUCAAAUUAAAAAUUCAAGUUGAUGUUAUCUUUAAAAAAAAGUAAUAGUUCAUCCUGUUCAUUCAUAAUCUAAAUUAGGUAAAAACCAGUGAUAAAAUAUUGUGUGUUAUUUUAAAAUAUAUGUAUAUCUACACAAACGAUAUUAUAUAUACAAAUACUCGUACUCAUGUACACACCCUAUCAUUAAUAAAGCAUCAUUGUUUAAUUUUAGGAAAAAAAUAACUACAAUUGGGAAUAAAAUUGAUUGCCCUAUUACAUCCAAAAGUCACCAUUCAUUGAUUAUUUUUUCACUUGUGAUUUAUUUUCCCUCAUGUUUCAUUUUCGGAACUUGUGUUUUCCCUUGAAAUACAAGAAUGCUUACUUUAUAAAAAUACACUGUGAUCCUAAUUCUUAGAUGUCAGUUAUUUUAGGUGGUUUAUAGCUCAACCUUUAAAGAGGUGCAGAAAUGCUAAGAGGAUUUGAGUUUUGAUCGUUGACAUUUUACCAAAUAGAAGUAGAAUUGGAGUGGAACCAAAUGGGGUUGGAGAUAGGAGCAGUACAAUUCAACAGCAGAGGUAUAGUGCAUCUAGGCCUGACUUCAUGUCAGCCCUUUCAUUAAGUAGACCUGUAAUGUCAGGUACACCACUUAACCUCUCUAAGCUUAAGUCUCCUCAUCUCUACACAGAGGGGAUAUUGCCAGUUGGGUUUCCUGGGAAGAUGACUUUGAGACGGAGAUCGGCAUCCAGCCUGUUAAUUAUGGAAUGUUCUUGGGAUCAACACCUAUGGGAGGGAGGGAACAGAAGCAGGAUUUGGCUGUGAUGCAGUCCUAAUGGAAUUAAAUAAAGUCCUUAGGAAAAUAAUUUUCUUCCUACUAAAGCAAUAAAAACUUGUUUGAUAUUAGGAUUUAUAAUGGCUUAUAAUGGAACUGUUGGCUUCACUCUGUUAGGGGCAAUACCUGUGCCAAGAAGAAUCUCUGAGUGGAAACUGUUGCUUUAAUUUAUAUUAUUGUAGCAACAUUAUUGUAAAAUUACCUUUUAAAUUGAGAAAAAAUUUUAA
rnacentral:lncRNA from 1 species